CCGCUGAACUUAAGCAUAUCAAUAAGCGGAGGAAAAGAAACUAACCAGGAUUCCCUUAGUAACUGCGAGUGAAGUGGGAAGAGCUCAAAUUUGUAAUCUGGUGGCCUGUGGCCGUCCGAGUUGUAAUCUAAAGAAGUGCUACCUGCGCUGGACCGUGUACAAGUCUUCUGGAAUGGAGCAUCACAGAGGGUGAGAAUCCCGUCUUUGACAUGGACUGCCAGUGCUUAAUAGGUGUGCUCUCGAAGAGUCGAGUUGUUUGGGAAUGCAGCUCAAAAUGGGUGGUAAAUGCCAUCUAAAGCUAAAUAUUGGCGAGAGACCGAUAGCGAACAAGUACCGUGAGGGAAAGAUGAAAAGAACUUUGGAAAGAGAGUUAAACAGUACGUGAAAUUGCUGAAAGGGAAACGCUUCAAGUCAGUCGCGUCGGUCGGAAAUCAACCUUGCUUUUGCUGGGUGCACUUUCCGUCCGAUGGGUCAGCAUCAAUUUUGGUCGCUGGAUAAAGUUCCUCGGGAAUGUGGCAUCCUCGGAUGUGUUAUAGCCCUUGGGACACAUGCGGCGGUYGGGAUUGAGGAACUCAGCACGCCGCGAGGCUGGGCUUUGUCCACACGAACGUGCUUAGGAUGCUGGCAUAAUGGCUUCAAUCGACCCGUCUUGAAACACGGACCAAGGAGUCUAACAUGCCUGCGAGUGUUUGGGUGG
rnacentral:rRNA from 1 species